rnacentral:lncRNA from 1 species
UAGUCAGAUUCGUUAACCACUGCGCCACAACGGGAACUCCCAAAAGACAUCUUAUUUGAUAGGUAUUGUUGGCUCAUUAGCGUUGAACUCAUAGCCAAUAGCACCCUAAUUCAAAUCUGAAAGAGUGCGGGGGCGGGGGGGGUGGGGAGUGUUGCCGGAGAGGACUCCUAGGACAGAAAACAUCUGUAUCAGCCCAAAGUCAGCCUGUUCUAGGACAACCGAGGUCCUAGUCUGCCAGGACUGAUGGGCUUCCACGUGUGUGUGUGUGUGUGGCAGGGGCAGGGCUCAGCCCUGAAACCAGUCUGUCUGGGAUGGUUGUUCACCCUCCCUAAUUCCCCAGGGCUUCUGCUCAUCCGCAGGUUCUGCUCCUGCCCUUCCAGGUGACACAGAACAGUGGUGCUCCUCCCUGCAUCAGUGAAGCGUUUGAAGGUGCAUCUGGGCCCUCCCAUCUUCUCGGGCUUGACAUCCUCAGCCUUGUGGGCCUUCUUCACAUGGCGCAGAGUGGCAAAGGCUGCUGGCCGACUUAGAACAAGUCUCUUCCAGCCUACUGACCAGACUGCACUUCCCGGUCUCUUUUGCAGGGCCCUGCGUCAGCAGUUCACUCUCCGAUGCGUGUGUUCCUCCAGCACAGCUUGGUUUACAGCGGGCCCCCAAGUUGGUCCAGGCAUGGUCUCUGUCCAGAGCUAAGGCCGAUGCGCUCCUUCUUUGAAUCAAGGGCACAGGAGAUUUCAAAGGGGAGGAGGCUCUGUGUGCCCAGGAAACAGGAUCAUGGAAUCAGAGAGUCCAGGGGCACGGCAGUCCAGAUCCUUAAGGACUUUCUGCCAAAACUCGAGUCUAACACCUUGAAGACACAGGAGGAAAACAGAAAGAGCUGGCCUUCCUGGGACCCUGGGAGUUGAACAAGGCCAGGUCCAGAGCGACAAAGAUAGAACAGGAGCAGCUCUAAAAGCCUGGCCAUCCUCUGAACAUGCUAAACUGAAAACAAAUAAUAGGGGUGUGUGUUGAUAACUACCUAACUGCAUAGGAUGAGGACUCAGAAACGUAUACCCUCGAAUCUCUUACUAAAGAUUCUCCGCGCUGAGCACCUGCUCAGAAAGACUGCACACAGAAUGGUCAUUUUCUGGCUUGCUGCAGAUUGGCCAAGUGUCAUGCGAAGAAGUAGAAUCCGCAAGCUUGACCCGCAUCGACAUUGUUUUCUCAUCACUCUGCAGCUUGAGUAUGAGGGAGAUGAAAGAGGAAGCAGGGAACCUGCCUCCCUGCUGGGGGGGCAGCAGAGGCCACC